rnacentral:rRNA from 1 species
UACGUAGGGUGCGAGCGUUGUCCGGAUUUAUUGGGCGUAAAGAGCUCGUAGGCGGUUUGUCGCGUCGGCCGUGAAAUCUCCACGCUACUACGGUGAGCGUGCGGUCGAUACGGGCAGACUUGAGUUCGGUAGGGGAGACUGGAAUUCCUGGUGUAGCGGUGAAAUGCGCAGAUAUCAGGAGGAACACCGGUGGCGAAGGCGGGUCUCUGGGCCGAUACUGACGCUGAGGAGCGAAAGCGUGGGGAGCGAACAGG